rnacentral:sRNA from 1 species
AUGGCUGUCGUCAGCUCGUGUCGUGAGAUGUUGGGUUAAGUCCCGCAACGAGCGCAACCCCUACUGUGUGUUGUAUCACUCACACGGGACUGCCGAGAGAAACUCGGAGGAAGGUGGGGAUGACGUCAAGUCAGCAUGGCCCUUACGUCCUGGGCUACACCCACGCUACAAUGGCCGGUACAACGGGCUGCAAAACCGCGAGGUGGAGCUAAUCCCUUAAAGCCGGUCUCAGUUCGGAUUGUAGGCUGCAACUCGCCUGCAUGAAGCCGGAGUUGCUAGUAACCGCCGGUCAGCAUACGGCGGUGAAUGUGUUCCCGGGCCUUGUACACACCGCCCGUCACGUCAUGAAAGCUGGCAACACCCGAAGCCGGUGGGCCAACCCGCAAGGGGGGCAGCCGUCGAAGGUGGGGUUGGUGAUUGGGACGAAGUCGUAACAAGGUAGCCGUACCGGAAGGUGCGGCUGGAUCACCUCCUUUCUAGGGAGAUCCGAGUCUCGACUCUUGGUGGGGUCGAGGCGUUGAUGGCUCCUAGGGUUGAUCGCACGGUCGCUCGAGUAUCCCCGCCAGGUGGAGCUCGCCGGCGCCGGUCCGCAAGGAUCGGAUGUCGGAGGCCGAUACGCGACCUGGAAAGAACACCGAACCCACUCGAUCGCAUCCGGUUCGGGGAAUUCCUGUCACUCUUCAAGGGUCAAGGUGCAGCCGUCCGCGGCGACGACCGUGUCGUCACGUCAGGCACGGCAACCACCCGCGGAGGGCGAUUAGCUCAGCUGGUUAGAGCGCUGCCCUGAUAAGGCAGAGGUCUCUGGUUCGAGUCCAGAAUCGCCCACCAUCCCCUCCACCUGGCGCGGGGACGUAGCUCAGCUGGUAGAGCAUCUCCUUUGCAAGGAGAGGGUCAGGAGUUCGAGUCUCCUCGUCUCCACCACAGUCCGAGCGUCCGCCGCCAUCGCAAACUGAACAGAUCGGGUCCAUCCCCGAAACCACCUACCGUCCAUCACCCGGGACCCUGUCCCGCAUCGAGCCCCUGAUCCGUGUCCUCCCCGUCCGCGGGCAGGCCACGGACCAGCGGAUCGCUGGGCGACGGAGCGACUUCGGUCGUUCGGUCGAGGGACGCGUCUUCGGGCGCGUCGCACCUUAACAACUGGAUAUGUUUCGGCAGAUUGAAUGAAUCUUCGAUUUCGCCGAGUAGUCAAUACGAAAUGACCCCGAUCCGAUCCCAAUCAGCGACUGGCCGCCUGGUCAGAGGCUGGAGGGGGUCAAGCUACAAAGGGCACGGGGUGGAUGCCUUGGCGCCAAGAGCCGAUGAAGGACGCGGCAGGCUGCGAAAUGCUCCGGGGAGUCGCGAGCAGACUUUGAUCCGGAGAUGUCCGAAUGGGGAAACCCGG